AAAUAAAUUGCUCAAGAUCACACAGGUAGUAAAUGCCAACACCAGAAUUUGAAUCUGGAUCCUCACAUCUCACAUGCAGUACAUUUGCAGCUAACAAGAUGAGGAAACUGAGGCCUAGGAAGCAUUGAGAAAAGUGCCCAAGGCUGCAGAGGUCAUCGGCAUCUGAGAUGGGAUUCCAAUCUACAUCUCCUCUCCACUUUAACAAGCUGCCUCCUUGCUUGUCUGGGUCCAUGUUAAUUCCUCCCGGCAAUUGGAGUUAGGUGACUUGCCCAGGGUCACACAGCUAG